GACGAACGCUGGCGGCGUGCCUAAUACAUGCAAGUCGAGCGAAUGGAUGGGAGCUUGCUCCCUGAAGUUAGCGGCGGACGGGUGAGUAACACGUGGGCAACCCGCCUGUAAGACUGGGAUAACUUCGGGAAACCGGAGCUAAUACCGGAUAAUUUCUUUCUUCACAUGGAGAGAGGUUGAAAGACGGCUUCGGCUGUCACUUACAGAUGGGCCCGCGGCGCAUUAGCUAGUUGGUGAGGUAACGGCUCACCAAGGCGACGAUGCGUAGCCGACCUGAGAGGGUGAUCGGCCACACUGGGACUGAGACACGGCCCAGACUCCUACGGGAGGCAGCAGUAGGGAAUCUUCCGCAAUGGACGAAAGUCUGACGGAGCAACGCCGCGUGAGUGAUGAAGGUCUUCGGAUCGUAAAACUCUGUUAUCAGGGAAGAACAAGUAUCGGAGUAACUGCCGGUACCUUGACGGUACCUGACCAGAAAGCCACGGCUAACUACGUGCCAGCAGCCGCGGUAAUACGUAGGUGGCAAGCGUUGUCCGGAAUUAUUGGGCGUAAAGCGCGCGCAGGCGGUUUCUUAAGUCUGAUGUGAAAGCCCACGGCUCAACCGUGGAGGGUCAUUGGAAACUGGGGAACUUGAGUGCAGAAGAGAAGAGCGGAAUUCCACGUGUAGCGGUGAAAUGCGUAGAGAUGUGGAGGAACACCGGUGGCGAAAGCGGCUCUCUGGUCUGUAACUGACGCUGAGGCUCGAAAGCGUGGGGAGCGAACAGGAUUAGAUACCCUGGUAGUCCACGCCGUAAACGAUGAGUGCUAGGUGUUAGGCCCUUUCCGGGGCUUAGUGCCGCAGCUAACGCAUUAAGCACUCCGUCUGGGGAGUACGACCGCAAGGUUGAAACUCAAAGGAAUUGACGGGGGCCCGCACAAGCGGUGGAGCAUGUGGUUUAAUUCGAAGCAACGCGAAGAACCUUACCAGGUCUUGACAUCCCGAUGCCCGCUCUAGAGAUAGAGUUUUACUUCGGUACAUCGGUGACAGGUGGUGCAUGGUUGUCGUCAGCUCGUGUCGUGAGAUGUUGGGUUAAGUCCCGCAACGAGCGCAACCCUUAUUGUUAGUUGCCAUCAUUCAGUUGGGCACUCUAGCGAGACUGCCGGUAAUAAACCGGAGGAAGGUGGGGAUGACGUCAAAUCAUCAUGCCCCUUAUGACCUGGGCUACACACGUGCUACAAUGGCUGGUACAACGAGUCGCAAGUCGGUGACGGCAAGCUAAUCUCUUAAAGCCAGUCUCAGUUCGGAUUGUAGGCUGCAACUCGCCUACAUGAAGUCGGAAUCGCUAGUAAUCGCGGAUCAGCACGCCGCGGUGAAUACGUUCCCGGGCCU
rnacentral:rRNA from 1 species